rnacentral:tRNA from 1 species
GGUUGUAGCUCAGUGGUACAGUGCUUGCCUAGCAUGCAUGAGGCACUGGGUUCGAUUCUCAGCACCA